CCGCAGCACCCGUUCUGUGGGGCAGUGCAGAGCCACAGCCAGAGCCAGCCGGGGAACCCAGCAGCAGCCACCAGGAGGUGACCCUUGCCAUGGGGGACACGGCUACAGUCGUGGGAGGCCAGCAGGCUGAAGCCCCAGACUCUGUGGCCAUGUCUUCCUGGGACAGGCGGCUCCAUCGGGCCAAGUGUGCACCAUCCUACUUGUUCUCCUGCUUCAAUGGAGGCGAGUGUGUGCACCCAGCCUUCUGUGACUGCAGACGCUUCAAUGCCACUGGACCGCGCUGCCAGAUGGUGUACAAUGCCGGCCCUGAGAGGGACAGCAUUUGCCGGGCGUGGGGGCAGCACCACGUGGAGACAUUUGAUGGGCUCUACUACUACCUCUCCGGAAAGGGCAGCUACACCCUGGUGGGUCGCCAUGAGCCCGAGGGACAGAGCUUCUCCAUCCAGGUACACAAUGACCCGCAGUGUGGCUCUUCACCCUACACCUGCUCCAGGGCUGUCAGCCUCUUCUUUGUGGGUGAGCAGGAGAUCCAUCUGGCCAAGGAGGUCACCCAUGGAGGCAUGAGGGUCCAACUGCCACAUGUCAUGGGGAGCGUACGUCUGCAGCGGCUUGCCGGCUAUGUCAUCGUGCGGCAUCAGUCAGCCUUCACACUGGCCUGGGAUGGUGCCUCGGCUGUCUACAUCAAGAUGAGUCCAGAGCUUCUGGGCUGGACCCAUGGGCUGUGUGGGAACAACAAUGCUGACCCCAAGGAUGAUCUGGUGACCAGCUCUGGGAAGCUGACUGACGACGUGGUUGAGUUUGUGCACAGCUGGCAGGAGCAGGCCCCUAACCAGCCUCCAGGGCCCACAACUUCCUCCCUGCCUCGCCCACCGUGCCUACAGCAGAACCCAGGAACCAUGCAGGGCGUGUACGAGCAGUGUGAGGCUCUACUGCGGCCCCCCUUUGACGCCUGCCACGCCUACGUCAGCCCUCUGCCCUUCACAGCCAGUUGUACCAGUGAUCUCUGCCAAUCAAUGGGUGAUGUAGCCACAUGGUGCCGGGCACUGGCGGAGUAUGCCCGGGCGUGUGCCCAGGCAGGGCGGCCCUUGCAAGGCUGGAGGACCCAGCUCCGGCAAUGCACUGUGCACUGCAAGGAGAAGGCCUUUACCUACAAUGAGUGCAUCGCCUGCUGCCCUGCCUCCUGCCAGCCCCGGGCAUCCUGUGUGGACAGUGAAAUCGCCUGUGUGGACGGCUGCUAUUGCCCCAAUGGGCUCAUCUUCGAGGAUGGGGGCUGCGUGGCACCAGCUGAGUGUCCCUGUGAGUUUCACGGGACUCUGUACCCACCUGGCUCUGUGGUGAAGGAAGACUGCAAUGCUUGCACAUGCACCUCAGGCAAGUGGGAGUGCAGCACAGCUGUCUGCCCAGCUGAGUGCUCAGUGACUGGUGACAUUCACUUCACAACCUUUGAUGGCCGCCGGUACACGUUCCCCGCCACAUGUCAGUACAUCCUGGCCAAGAGCCGCUCUUCGGGCACCUUCACCGUGACAUUGCAGAAUGCCCCAUGUGGCCUGAACCAAGAUGGAGCCUGUGUCCAGUCAGUGUCAGUGAUUCUGCACCAGGACCCUCGGAGGCAGGUGACCCUGACCCAGGCAGGGGAUGUCCUUCUGUUUGACCAGUACAAGAUCAUCCCGCCAUACACAGAUGACGCCUUUGAGAUCCGUAGGCUGUCCUCCGUGUUCCUGCGGGUGAGGACGAACGUGGGCGUGCGGGUGCUCUACGACCGUGAAGGGCUCCGACUGUACCUGCAGGUGGACCAGCGAUGGGUGGAGGAUACCGUGGGCCUCUGCGGCACCUUCAAUGGCAACACGCAGGACGACUUCCUGUACGUAGCCCUGCCACGGAACCCGAAGAAGAGGGGAAAUGGGCCCCUUAGGGCUGGGUAUCUAGAGGCACUGCCUAAAUGUCUCUCCCGUGGGCCUUCACUGUGCCCAGCAUGCACCAUUAGUUAUUGAUUUCUCUACAUUUAAAUUUAAUUAUGUUUCUUUAAAGCAGCGGUUCACAGUCCUCUAUGUGUGGCAUCACCUCAGGAGCUUAUU
rnacentral:sRNA from 1 species